rnacentral:rRNA from 1 species
AACGAACGCUGGCGGCAGGCUUAACGCAUGCAAGUCGAGCGGGCGCCUUCGGGUGUCAGCGGUGGACGGGUUAGUAACGCGUGGGAACGUGCCUUCUGCUCUGGAAUAGCCCUGGGAAACUGGGGGUAAUACCGGAUGUGCCCUGAGGGGGAAAGGUUUACCGGCAGGAGAUCGGCCCGCGUCUGAUUAGGUAGUUGGUGGGGUAACGGCCCACCAAGCCGACGAUCGGUAGCUGGUUUGAGAGGAUGAUCAGCAACACUGGGACUGAGACACGGCCCAGACUCCUACGGGAGGCAGCAGUGGGGAAUCUUAGACAAUGGGGGCAACCCUGAUCUAGCCAUGCCGCGUGGAUGAUGAAGGCCUUAGGGUCGUAAAGUCCCUUCGCCGGGGAAGAUAAUGACGGUACCCGGUAAAGAAGCCCCGGCUAACUCCGUGCCAGCAGCCGCGGUAAAAC